rnacentral:tRNA from 1 species
GAAUAGUUUAGAUGGAUAAAACAUACCUCUCAUGAGGGUCAGUCAAAGGUUCAACUCCUUUUUC